rnacentral:rRNA from 1 species
GCGGAGGAAAAGAAACCAACAGGGAUUGCUCUAGUAACGGCGAGUGAAGCAGCAAUAGCUCAAAUUUGAAAUCUGGCGUCUUCGACGUCCGAGUUGUAAUUUGUAGAGGAUGCUUCUGAGUAACCACCGACCUAAGUUCCUUGGAACAGGACGUCAUAGAGGGUGAGAAUCCCGUAUGCGGUCGGAAAGGUGCUCUACACGUAGCUCCUUCGACGAGUCGAGUUGUUUGGGAAUGCAGCUCUAAAUGGGAGGUAAAUUUCUUCUAAAGCUAAAUAUUGGCCAGAGACCGAUAGCGCACAAGUAGAGUGAUCGAAAGAUGAAAAGCACUUUGGAAAGAGAGUUAAAAAGCACGUGAAAUUGUUAAAAGGGAAGGGAUUGCAACCAGACUUGCUCGCGGUGUUCCGCCGGUCUUCUGACCGGUCUACUCGCCGCGUUGCAGGCCAGCAUCGUCUGGUGCCGCUGGAUAAGACUUGAGGAAUGUAGCUCCCUCGGGAGUGUUAUAGCCUCUUGUGAUGCAGCGAGCGCCGGGCGA